GAAAAAGUAGUUCAUAUUUUGUUGUAAAUUUAAUGAUCAUAUUUUGUUGUAAAUUUACUUUACUAGUUAUUUGAAAUAAGUAAUCUGAUAACGUAACUUAUAAAAACUUAGUUCCUGUCCUUGAUUCUGAUUGGUCAAUAGCUGUGUUUUAUUCACGAUAAAACACAGCUAUGACCGCUUCACCCAACGGUUCUGUGUAUCACUACACAACACCCUUAGUAACCAUGUCCGAUGUAUUAUCUUGUCCUUUUAACAGUUAAGGGGUUUUCCCGUGACUGACAGCGCUAGACAAAGCAUUUGUCAGUUGCGUCUUGUUCCGUGUUCACAACAAUUCAGGCUUUUCAAUGUAAAAGUCUUUGCUACUGACUGACACACUCAUAAAGACAGUCUUUGCCGCCAUCUAAUGUAACUUUUGUUGCUGUUCACGGUCAGGGACUAUUUUUUUCCGGUGGAAGGAAGGCUUUUAGUGAAAUUUACUUCAUGAAAGUUGCAUUGAUACAUAUUUUUGGCUUUAAUGUUUGUAUUGUGUGGUAACCGUUUUAUAAAAGCAGUAAGGUACUUGAGGCUAGUGCUGUAUCAUGAAUAAGUCACGGCUGAAGGGGUUACUCUGCUUUGCAUCAUGCCUAACAACGCCCUUCAUCCGUGACUUGUUUUCACAAUACAGCACAGCCUCGAGUACCUUAUUGCUUACUCACGUUACUUGUAAUGCAUUACCCCAACACUGGUUCUGUAACCUUAUAACAACUUUAUAAGAAUCUGGACAUUUUAAUGAUUUAAAAACAUUUCAAAACAAUGUUCCCACAACCAAAAUGGAAUGUUUGGAAAACGUUUUUAGAAUCUAAAUUUGUGACUAAUAUCACUCUAAAAGACAAUUUUACUGCUCGACUAACUUUUUCUUUUUACACAAAUGAAAUCAUGCUUUAACAAAAAUAAGCUUUAAAUGUAUGAUUUUUAAACUCUCCAUCUUCAUUUCAUGCUAGACCUCCUUUGUGUUAUGCGUUUCCCAGCUAACUAAAAUAUGUUCUAAGAACGUUUUGCUAAAGUUCACAUUAAGUUAUAUCUGAAAGUUUGCUGAACGUUUAAAACAUCCAGUUUUAAAAAUGGUUUAAAACGUUGUUGUUUUUUCUUGGUUAUGAGAACAUUAACUUUUGAAUGUUCUCAGAACGUUCUGAAAAAAAACAAAAACAAAAAAAAAAACAUUUACAUUUAAAAAAUAAUAGAUGAACGUCCAACUAAAGCAUUUAAGAAGAAAAAAACUUGCAAGAAUGAUGUAUAAAUGUUUUUGAGCUAAUGUUUUGAGAACAUUAUUAAUGACACACUAAAGCCUAACACUCAAAAUAUUUAAUUGUUUGAGUAGGACAAACUUAAAUUAAACAAAAUAGUUCAGUCAAAUGAACUUUUAUGAGUAUUUAGCACUUUCUUUUCACUUUCAGUUCACAGAACUGACAUAUUUUAAGUAAACUGAACUGUUUCAAUGUUUUGAGUUUUAUUAACUUAUUUCUUUUAAUUUAGAUGAACUUAAGUGACCAGUUUAACUGAAACUGGGCUGGGAUUUAUAUUUCCCAGCAUGCUUUGCCCAUGGCACUCGGAAGGGGGAGAAAAUGUUAAAAUUAAGUGUUAUAUAAUGUAUUUUUGUGCAAGAUUACUGUUAAUUGGGAGAUUUAUUAGUGAUUAAUGUUUUGUUAUGCUAAUUUAGAAGAGUUUUAAUGUUUAAUGCUUUAUAUUGCUGCAAUCAUUCAGAAAGUGCUAUACCGUGCUAUUAACAUGCAAAUUAUCAUUUUCUGAAUUAUUAUAAACCCUUAUUCGGGUUUACAGUGCAGAUUUCUUUCUGCAUAACUUUAAUCUUUGUUCAUAACUUUAAGAGAACCUUACCAGAAUUUUAAGUGAAUGUUUUAUGUUAAUUGGGUUGGUUCAUGCAUUUAAACAUUCUGAGUGAUGAAAGUUUAGCUGACAUUGUCUGUGUUAAUCAUCAACAUGCCGCAGACGCGCUCCAUAUAGCCUAGGCCACAUUAAACAGUUGUAUAAGUUUGUUGUAUUAGCUGCAUUUGUCUGGUUUUGCUCAUUUGUUUUGAGGUACUAAUGUAUGUCGGAGAGACAUGAUCUUGUUCAAGCGUUGCGUGCACUUUGGCAUCAGGCCCAGAACGAUGUCUAACUUGUACUGUUACUGCAUGAAUUCUGUUUUGUCUGUCAGCGUCUCGUUUGUUCGUUGUAAUCAUGUUGCGUGUGAUUCACAAUCUUCCGGGAGGUUCACAGUGAGACAACUUCCUGUUUUGAUUGCGUUUCUCACAAACGCUGUUUUCUGUUACACAUCCAGCUCGGUUAUGUUUCGUAAUACUGUACUGAACACGUUGUAGCCCCCGGUCAUACUGCAAUUCUUGUAGUCUAAUAAAUAAUACACAGGAUGAGGAUUGUUUCGCAUCCUGACUCCUUACGCUGAUGAAACUGAUUAUUUUCCGAGGAAAUACGGGUGAGGUAGAUUUCUCCAGACAUUUCUCUUCAGAAUAUCCAACAAGUAGGUUAAAUAUGGAGAAUUAACUGCGCCUGUCGAGCAGCGCCUGAGGUUAAAGAUCCCUCUGACUGUGGGGAAUAUUUCAUAAGUCUGGAACAUAAUCACAGGCCAUAAUGAAAGGAUGAGAGCAGCGGCGUGUGGUGAUCGCUGAGGAGGAGGAGGGGAGCGACCCGGAGCUGCGAUCGCUCACUGAAGCGGGACUGUGAUGAAGGGGGAGUGUGUGACCCUGUCGCGCUCACGCUGUUACUGAACCUGCCGAGCUGCCGCUUCCAAAAGGGAUGGAUAUGGAGAAAAACACGCAGCGCUCUCUUGUCAGGGCAGUGUGUGGGCCGACGCAGAGCUGAAGUGCAGAGGGACUAAAAAUACAGCCGGCACGCCACUCACGAGGUUAGACUUGCUUUGAACAGUUGAUGGCAAUGCAGCUCUGGACUCUGGAUGUCCGUUGUGCUGAUAUCAGGAGUUUAAUGGCUGACAUACUGCUGGCCGUGGAGGUGAACCAACUCUGAUAAGACUGUGUGUGUGUACGUGUGUGUGUGUGUGUGUGUGUGUGUACUGUACAAUCUCACUGAACACAAGCGCAGUGUCUCUCCUGCACUGCAGCUGUAACAGCUCAGAUAAACACUAAAGAACUUUGCUUUGUGAUAAUCUUCAACAUAUACAUGAUUUCUAAUCUUCAGAUUCUUGCAUGCCAGUUACCACAGAUUAUCAUUUUUCGUUAAAGUGAACAACUCUUUAAUAUUAAUGUGUACACUGUAAAAAAAAAAUAUUUUCAUGAUUUGUUAUCACAACAUUUUUUCUUUUGUCAAAUCAACUUAGAUAAUUAAUGUGGUUCAGAUGACAUAAUAUUUUGAGUUUCUGUUGAUCAAACCAGUCGCCUUCAUUGUAUUAACUCAAAUUUUUAAUUUCAAUGAACUUAAAAUUUUAAGGCAACCAGGUAACUUUCAGAAAAGCUCUUAUUUUUGUACUUUAACUUGUGACUGGUGUUAUGUUUUUUGUUAAUAUUUUUAAUGAAUUUUAUUUUUAUAUUUUCUGUUGUAACUUUUAGUUAAUUCAGUGUUUUGGUAAUUUUGUUGUGUUUUUGUAAUUUUUAUUAGUUUUUUUUUUUCUUUUCUUAAAUAUGUCCAUAUAGUUCUACAUUUUUAUUUCAUUUUUAGUUGUUUUAGUACUUCAAGUUAAAAUAAAAUGAGAAAUGUUGAAAUAGCUGAAAUAAGUUUUAGUAUCAUUGCUUCUAUUUUGAAUUAAAUUUUAUUUUUAUAUUUUUUGUUUUCAAUUUUAUUUUAGUCAACAUUUUAGUAAUUGUGUGUGUUUUUUUGAUUUACUGGUGUGUUUAUUCAUUUUUUGCCCCUUAAAUGUGUUUACAUAGUUAUUACAUAUAUUAUUACAUAUUACAUAUAUUACAUAUUACAGUUACAUAUAUUAUUUCAGUUUUAGUAAUUUUAGAAAUAUUGCCUUGGCAUAGCUGAUAUAUGUGUGUGUGUGUGUGUGUGUGUGUGUGUGUGUAUAUAUAUAUAUAUAUAUAUAUGAUUUUUUUUUUUUUUUCAAUUAUUUUUACACUGACGUUUUACAACAAAGCCUCAUUUGUUAUCAUUAGUUAAUGCAUUAACUAUGUUAACCAUGUUAUAUUUUUACACCAUUUAUUGUCCUUUGUUAAUGUUACUUAAUAAAAAAUGUCGAUAUUCAUGUAAGUUCACAGUGCAUUAACUAAUGUUAACAGAUCUAAAAAUUAGUAAAUGUUGAGAAGAUUAACAGUAGCUAAGCUAAUUAAAUAAUCUCCCGGUUUCACAGACAAGGCUUAAACUAGUCCCAGACUAAAAUGCAUGUUUGAGCUGUUUUAACUGAACGCAACUUGCACUGAACAUAUCUUAAAAUAUGUCAGUGCCAUUAUUUUGUCUCAAGAUGUAUACCAGUAGGCAUGAUGCGAUAAUUGAUGAAGCUAGUUAAUGCAUUAACUGAGAUUAAGAAUGAGCAAUAGCAACAUUUGUUACAGAAGGUAUUAUUUUUAGUUAAUGUUAGUUAAAAAGUACAACUGAUCAUUGUUAGUUUUAGCUCAGGUCCAUUAAAUAAUAGUAACAACUUUUGAUCUUAGUAAUGUUAUUAAACAUUAAGAAAUUAACAUUAAGAUUAAUAAAUGCUUUAUAAGUAUUUUUAUUGUCAGUUUGGUAAUAAUGUUAACAUGUUA